AGAGUUUGAUCCUGGCUCAGGACGAACGCUGGCGGCGUGCUUAACACAUGCAAGUCGAACGGAAAGGCCCCUUCGGGGGUACUCGAGUGGCGAACGGGUGAGUAACACGUGGGCAAUCUGCCCUGCACUUCGGGAUAAGCCUGGGAAACUGGGUCUAAUACCGGAUAGGACCUUUAGGCGCAUGUCUUUAGGUGGAAAGCUUUUGCGGUGUGGGAUGGGCCCGCGGCCUAUCAGCUUGUUGGUGGGGUGAUGGCCUACCAAGGCGACGACGGGUAGCCGGCCUGAGAGGGUGUCCGGCCACACUGGGACUGAGAUACGGCCCAGACUCCUACGGGAGGCAGCAGUGGGGAAUAUUGCACAAUGGGCGCAAGCCUGAUGCAGCGACGCCGCGUGGGGGAUGACGGCCUUCGGGUUGUAAACCUCUUUCACCAUCGACGAAGGUUCGGGUUUUCUCGGAUUGACGGUAGGUGGAGAAGAAGCACCGGCCAACUACGUGCCAGCAGCCGCGGUAAUACGUAGGGUGCGAGCGUUGUCCGGAAUUACUGGGCGUAAAGAGCUCGUAGGUGGUUUGUCGCGUUGUUCGUGAAAUCUCACGGCUUAACUGUGAGCGUGCGGGCGAUACGGGCAGACUAGAGUACUGCAGGGGAGACUGGAAUUCCUGGUGUAGCGGUGGAAUGCGCAGAUAUCAGGAGGAACACCGGUGGCGAAGGCGGGUCUCUGGGCAGUAACUGACGCUGAGGAGCGAAAGCGUGGGGAGCGAACAGGAUUAGAUACCCUGGUAGUCCACGCCGUAAACGGUGGGUACUAGGUGUGGGUUUCCUUCCUUGGGAUCCGUACCGUAGCUAACGCAUUAAGUACCCCGCCUGGGGAGUACGGCCGCAAGGCUAAAACUCAAAGGAAUUGACGGACUCAAAUGAAUUGACGG
rnacentral:rRNA from 1 species